rnacentral:rRNA from 1 species
UACGGAGGGUGCAAGCGUUGUUCGGAAUCACUGGGCGUAAAGGGCGUGUAGGCGGUCCGCUAAGUCUGAUGUGAAAGCCCGGGGCUCACCCCCGGAAGGGCACUGGAAACUGGCGGACUCGAGUCUCGGAGAGGAAGGUGGAAUUCCUGGUGUAGCGGUGAAAUGCGUAGAUAUCAGGAAGAACACCUAUGGCGAAAGCAGCUCUCUGGGACGGUACUGACGCUGAGACGCGAAAGCGUGGGGAGCGAACAGG